rnacentral:rRNA from 1 species
AUUGAACGCUGGCGGCAUGCUUUACACAUGCCAGUCGAACGGCAGCGCGGGCUUCGGCCUGGCGGCGAGUGGCAAACGGGUGAGUAAUACAUCGGAACGUGCCCAGUAGUGGGGGAUAGCUCGGCGAAAGCCGGAUUAAUACCGCAUACGACCUGAGGGUGAAAGCGGGGGAUCUUCGGACCUCGCGCUAUUGGAGCGGCCGAUGGCAGAUUAGCUAGUUGGUGGGGUAAAGGCCUACCAAGGCGACGAUCUGUAGCUGGUCUGAGAGGACGACCAGCCACACUGGGACUGAGACACGGCCCAGACUCCUACGGGAGGCAGCAGUGGGGAAUUUUGGACAAUGGGCGAAAGCCUGAUCCAGCAAUGCCGCGUGUGUGAUGAAGGCCUUCGGGUUGUAAAGCACUUUUGGCGGGAACGAAAAGGACUGUGCCAAUACCACGGUUCGAUGACGGUACCCGCAGAAUAAGCACCGGCUAACUACGUG